AUGGGCACAGCACGGGAAGUGUUAAAAAAAAAAAAAAAGGAAACAAACAGUUCCUUCACAAGGCUGGGACAGGGGAGAGCACCCACAGUGGGGCAGGUGCCUUGGUUUCUUUUUCCAGUCUUUUUCCACCGCUUUUUCCUACUGAGUUUUGGCCAUGAACUCGGGACAGGUAUGGUUAAUAAACAGGUUAGGGGGAAGAGAAGGGGCAGAGAAGGCCUGGGGGAGGGAAGGACAAAUUCCCCCCACCCCAGGCUGGGUUCUUGGAGGAUCUGUACAGGAGAAAGGACAUGGUGGGAGGCAGGGGAUGGGGGGUGGACACAGUCUUCAGGGGGCUCUCUGGAGCCACACUGCCUACGAAAAAUAUUUACAUGCAUUCACCACGCUGGCAGGAGAAGGAAUUCAGGAGCGUCAAGGAGGUGGUGGCCCCUUCUGCCCUGUGACGCAGAGGUGUGUCUGCUCCCUGUGCCCAGGGGCCCAGCCUGGAGGCCUGGACAGAUGGCUUUGCCAACCCCAGGUGGGUCUGGCCUGAGCACCCCAAGCCACUGCCCACCGACCUGCCCGGCCUGGGCCCCAGUGAUCACCCGUCUGCUUCGUAUCGAGGGGACCAACCCUUCCGGGGAGGUACCCCUCUCACCCCCUAGGGAGAUAAGAGCCUGGGCUCUAGAAGUCACAGUUGGGGGUGGGGUUGACCCCGGCCCGCCUUGUCCUCUCUGGCAGCUGAGGCCCCAGAGAGGCUGUCAAGCACACAAGCCCCUCUUCCUUUGGAAUCGGCUGUGUUUUCUGGAAACACUAGGCCCCUGCAGGACACCUCCCCAGGAGCACCAGGGUGCCUGGGGACAUAUUCGGGCAGGCCCUGCACGCAUCACACCCUGUGUCCAGGCAGGGUGAGGCCUGCACUCACAACCAGCUCAUCCUUUUCAUGGCCUGCUCUUGGAUUGCCGUGCUGGACUUGGACUGUUUUUAAACUUCAUGAAGAUAAAGCCUGGACAUUUGUCUCAGGGCCAGGGCUCAAUGAAUGAAGCCCUCAGUCUCUUCUCUCCAACGCUAAGGAUGCAGAAAGAGGCAUCGGGUGUCGGGUGGCAAAGCCCUAGGCCCCAGGUUAGAGGCUGGCCCACAGGAGGUGAGAAGUCAGGCCUGCUGGGGUCAGGCUGGACCCAUGCAGCCCCUCCGAGCCCACUCCAGUCAACCCAGGCCCUGUUCAGCCGUCCUGUGCUGGACCCUGCCCCCACCCCCCAGGGGCUGUGCAGAGGCCAUGCCCACUGCUGGGCCUCCAAUCCUGGUCCCACCAUCCCUGGAUGGUCCAGGUCCUCUCUCCUCCAUGCUCCCUGGCUUUCCAGCCUUGGCCUGCCCAGGGGCCUUCUCACCAGAGCUGCUGCCCUAAGACAGCAGCCUGCCAAGGGGCAGA
rnacentral:lncRNA from 1 species